GAUCCUGGCUCAGGACGAACGCUGGCGGCGUGCUUAACACAUGCAAGUCGAACGAGAAUCUGCAGAAGGAGUUUUCGGACAACGGAAGCAGAGGACAGUGGCGGACUGGUGAGUAACGCGUGAGGAACCUGCCUUUCAGAGGGGGACAACAGUUGGAAACGACUGCUAAUACCGCAUGAUGUGUUUGGGUGGCAUCACUUGAACACCAAAGAUUUAUCGCUGAAAGAUGG
rnacentral:rRNA from 1 species